UGGGGAAUAUUGGGCAAUGGGGGAAACCCUGACCCAGCAACGCCGCGUGAGGGAAGAAGGUUUUCGGAUUGUAAACCUCUGUCCUUGGUGAAGAAAGAGAUGACGGUAGCCAAGGAGGAAGCCCCGGCUAACUACGUGCCAGCAGCCGCGGUAAUACGUAGGGGGCGAGCGUUGUCCGGAAUGAUUGGGCGUAAAGGGCGCGUAGGCGGCCGAGCAAGUCAGUAGUGGAAGUCCAAUUUUCAAGGUUGGAAGUGCUAUUGAAACUGCAGGGCUUGAGUGCAGGAGAGGUUAUCGGAAUUCCCGGUGUAGCGGUGAAAUGCGUAGAGAUUGGGAGGAACACCAGUGGCGAAGGCGACUUACUGGGCCGUAACUGACGCUGAGGCGCGAAAGCGUGGGGAGCGAACAGG
rnacentral:rRNA from 2 species